rnacentral:lncRNA from 1 species
GUGCAUUAAUGGCUAUCUCCCAUUCUAGACUGUGAGUUUAUUGUGGACAGAGAAUGUGUCUGUUGUUAUGUUGUACUCUCCCAGAUGCUUAGUACAGUGCUUUGCACCCAGUAAGUGCUCAACAAAUACAACUGAAAGUCUAAUUCCCAGCAUAAAAUCUCCACAAGACCUCCGGGAAAAAUAAUGAUUUAUUCACACCUAUUCCUCCAAAUUUAAUAACAAUAAAAAAAACCAUCUGAAUCCUGAAAGGCAAGAUUCCAGGAACUCGUUCACGUUUCUGACCAGAGUUUCCAGUAAGAUGGGCCUCAGCCUACUGAAUGGAAAAUAUGUCAUCACUCUCUUCCCCCACGCUGGAGCGGACGGACGGAGUCUGGCUGAGAUGUGCUGCUUUCCAGGGCUGUCCAGACGCCAGAACGGUACUGAAACACAUAAGCCUAAGUCAGACGGCCCAAACCUCCCAGUGGAAAACAAGGAAUGAGAUUACUCCCACUCUUAACUCUCCCACAUCCAUCAGCCCUGAAUUCUCCCAGGGUCGUGAAGUGCAGACAGACAAACAGAUAAGCCUGGUGACCUCGCAUCAUUAUCAUCC